UGCUAAUCUAUUCAAGAGAAAAACAAACACUUUAUCAUGAAACGGUACUUAUCUGUUGGCCAGCGAUCUAACAAAGGACAAACCUACUUACAGAAAGAAGUUGAACCACUAUAAGUUGUACGCGAUCUGAGUCGUAUUUUCUCCUCUCUCUCUCUCCAAGGAUAUACUUUAUCAACAAUUUUAUAACGGACAAACCGACCGACCCUAUCUGUCAUCGGUUGUGCUUCAGGAAAUACUUCAUCCAGGUGCAAGACGCAUUCCAACUUCUUCAGAGCUGAAUAGCUACAUAUUUCCUCACGACCUAACAGAUAGCACAAAAUCUGCUUUCUUUCAUUUAAAGGAGUUUGCGUUCUUGGCACAUGGCUUUGUAAAAGGGACCACAACACGUGCAACUUUCUUUAACUUGGUUGAUGACUGAGUGACAAAGUUAGAUACAGCCAUGGCUAAUGACUCGGAGGAAAUCAGAUGGAUUGACCGAAUCCGGGCUAUAACCUCAGCAACAGAGAGAAGACCAUGCAUGGUUUUGUGGUUCAUUUAUUAAAGACUGGGAUGAAGCUGACUUUCUCCAUGUUGCCGCAUCAGAUGAAUUCUUCAUUUACACAGUCAGGAAGCCAAAUCAUAAAAAUUACAUCACUUGGGCUGCAAAGUUGGAUGAUAUCAGCAAUGAUGUGCGCUAUCGCCAAGUUGUGAAAUUUCCUGAAUGUUUGGGAAUUUUUCUGCUCCAUAGCCAAAUGGUUAAUGUGGAUCAUCAAAAAAAAAGGGCAGUCAUGGAAUGGCGAAUACUUCAGAGAAACUGUGCUUACUGGUGGAGUAUUUCCUUUCCUCAAAGAUCCUGAAAAUGUGUUAUCUGUUGAAGAAGUCACAUUUUUGCAUGAUAAGGCACCAUGUUUCAAGGCUCUUCAGACACAGGAGCAGCUUCAAAACAGUGGUAUCGAUUUCUUCUCGUCAAGUGAAUUUCCAGGAAGCUCCCCUGACUUUAACACAGGUAGUGUUUGAGUUAUGAUAAUUUAUCUUACGAUAAUCCGAUUUUACAAUGGGGUUAGCAAUUAAUACUCAUAUGACAAUAUUUUGAAAAUAUCUAAAUUUUGCUCGUAACAGGUGCAGCCCAGCAGUGUACAACCAGGCAGCAAGAGAGAGAGACCAAAUUCUAGUUAAAUAAAUAAAAAAAAAAAAAAAAUAGCAAAAGAGAAUUAUGGAAGUUUUGUUUAAACAUUUAGCUCGUUUGGUAUAUGUGUACAGUCAUGAACAACUGAACAAGAUACCCUACAUGUAAAGAUGAUACCUAUUACACUAGCGUAGGCUAGGCUAUAUUCAAGAUACAAUUUUUUCGACAUACGAUGGGUUUUUUGGACCCUAACCCAAUCGUAAGUAGGAGAAUACCUGUAUGUGAGAAAACAUUGGUAGUACAUAUCUUAAAGGAUCGUGUUGAAGCGCGCUCAGUGAGCUAUGAUUGUAUACCAAGCCUUGACGACCUGCGAAGAGAGGUGACCAAAGUGCUCAGGGAAAUGGAGUUUGAGUCAGCUUUUUUGUGAUUUGCUAAAAUCAUACCCCUCAAGAAUCCAUGCUGUGGUACAGGCAGAUGGAGGGCACACAAAAUAUUAAAUACUCAUGAGAGAAACUUAAAUAAAUACCUGUUCUGAAUUA